rnacentral:rRNA from 1 species
GACGAACGCUGGCGGCGUGCUUAACACAUGCAAGUCGAACGGAAAGGCCUCUUUCGGGGGGUACUCGCGUGGCGAACGGGUGAGUAACACGUGAGUAACCUGCCCUUGACUUUGGGAUAACUUCAGGAAACUGGGGCUAAUACCGGAUAGAAGCUCCUGCUGCAUGGUGGGGGUUGGAAAGUUUCGGCGGUUGGGGAUGGACUCGCGGCUUAUCAGCUUGUUGGUGGGGUAGUGGCUUACCAAGGCUUUGACGGGUAGCCGGCCUGGGAGGGUGACCGGCCACAUUGGGACUGAGAUACGGCCCAGACUCCUACGGGGGGCAGCAGGGGGGAAUAUUGCACAAGGGGUGGAAGCCUGAUGCAGCAACGCCGGGGGCGGGAUGACGGCCUUCGGGUUGGAAACCGCUUUCGCUCAUGACGAAGCUUUGUGUGACGGUAGUGGGUAAAGAAGCACCGGCUAACUACGUG